ACUUGUGCUACACAAAAUGACACUUUCAAUCAAUGUACAUUUCAAAUUGUUUCAUUACAUGCAACCAGCAUCAAUAUUGUGAAAAUACCAUUUGCCAACAUUAUCACGAUAAAUUUCAUCAGUAAAUCACUGAAAAUGCACAUUUUGAGAGGGGGAAAAAGAACAACGUCAAUUAAACAGUACCUAAAUGUCAGCUGAAACGAUUUCAUAUGCAUGAAAGUGAAAGUAACAU